rnacentral:snRNA from 1 species
UUAGCUUUUAAAAAAAAUUUUAAAUCUGUUCUUACCAGUACGUCCUCUAUGUGAGGACUAUAUAUUAAAUGCAUUUUUUGAGCAGGGAAAAGGAAUAGGAGCUUGCUGCAGCCACUCCAUGCUUCUACCUGGUAUUGCAGUAUCACCAGAAAUGGUACACAUCGC